GCUUAAACACAUGAUACAAUAAAUAAUGAUUAACAAUAAGCUUUGCCCUCCAUUAAACAUAUAAAAGUUUAAUACAAUAAGUAUUCCAAAAAGCUAUUACAUCCAAUGAGUGGCUUUGUGGGCAUACUUCCAACAGCGCUUACCCAUUUGCUAUCUGAAAUUGGGUAUAUGAUACCCACAUCUAGCAACUUCAACACUUCAGUUCUCACUACUUCUUUCAGGUGUGGAUUGAGCCUUCGUUGUGGUUCACGGGUUGGUUUUCUCUGUCUUCCAAUAAAAUCCGAUACAUGCACAUGGUAGGGCUUAGUCCCUUAAUAUCUACAAUAGAACAACCAAUGGUUGAUUUGAACUCUUUUAAUACCCUAAUUAACUUAUCUUCUUCCAAUGGAUUGAGGUCAGAUGCUAUGAUAACUGCAAGAGUUUCAAAUUCAACGAGGUAAGCAUAUUUUAGAUGUGGUGGAAGUGGUUUAAGUUCAAGUUUUGGAGGUUUAACAAUAGAAGGGAUCAGAUGUGUGGCAAAUGGUUAUAAUGACUCUAUAAGAGGUGAAAUAAUGGAGGGAUAUGGUUUUAAUGCUUCCAAGGCAGCCAUCACUUCCAUGAGUGCAGAUUCUUCAUGAAAAUCAUCUUGAGAUUGACUCAAAACAAAUUGUAACGGAUCAUUAGAUUGUGUCUACAAAAACUUAGAGAAAACAGGUGAAUCAAACACAUCAAUCAAACAACAAUCAAAUGAACUAGAAGGGUGAGAAAGAGAUUCAAACACUUUGAAUUGUACAAUUUCUCCUAGCAUGGUCAUGGUAAGAAAACCAUUUUGCACGUCUAUGAUAGUCUUUGCAAUGGCCAUAAAAGGUUUCCUAAGCAAAAUUGGUAACUCACGAUCAUGUAUAGGAGCCUAUUCCAUGUCCAAAACUACAAAAUCAGCAGGCAAAAUUAGUUUGUCAACUUGAAAUAAGAUAUCUUCAACUAUACCUCUUGGAUAUUUCACUGAUCGAUCAGCAAGUUGCAAUGAAAUGGUUGUUGCCUUCAAAUCCCCCAAACCUAGUUGAAGGUACACUGAAUAGGGCAUUAGAUUGAUGCUAGCACCCAAAUCAAGCAUAGCCUUGUCAACUAACUUGUUUUCAAUAGUGAUUGCUUUGGGUUGCUUUUGG
rnacentral:lncRNA from 1 species